GAGGGGGCGCGUGCUCCUCCUCCUACAGGCCUAGCUACAGCAGCAGCCUACGCCACAAACAUUAGCUUUGCUCCAACGCAAGGCGAAACGUGUCUCGUCGAGCUUGGCGGAUCGUGCGCUGUGGCUUUCGCGGCAUCUCUUUCUCCAAAUUCAAUGGCUCGACAGGCUACUCCUCCUCCGACUUAACCCGAUCGAGCGCGACCUGUGCAGUGCAUGCAGCUUGCAAGUUGCCGUUUCUAGGAGUUGCUGCUUUUGCGUGUCACUAGCUUGUCCAAAUUAUUUACCUAUUGGAUCAAAGCUGUCCAUUUUAGCAACGACACAAGCGAGAACCCCUCAUCUUUCAGGGAAACUUUGGGACUUUCGAUGCAUCAACGUGUAUUACAGCUGUUAGGUGGAAUAAUUAUUUAUUGCUUGAGCCUCAUAGGCAUAUAUAUAUAUAUAUAUAUAUAUAUAGUAAUACAAUGACUAACUUAAAGUACAAGGCAAGGUAUGUUAGGAAAAUAAACCGUGUGUGUGCAUGCGUAGAGUGUGUGUAUGGAUCCAUGUCGAGGUCGGGUUGUUUCGAGCCGGUUUGUGGCUAGGUCUACGUUCAUGUGACGACGGAGACGGGAUGCAGC
rnacentral:lncRNA from 1 species